AUUGAACGCUGGCGGCAGGCCUAACACAUGCAAGUCGAGCGAGCGGCGGACGGGAGAGUAAUGUAUGGGGAUCUGCCCGAUAGAGGGGGAUAACUACUGGACACGGUGGCUAAUACCGCAUACUAGCGGAUGGACCCAAAUGGGAUUAGCUAGUUGGUGGGGUAAAGGCGUACCAAGGCGACGAUCUCUAACUGGUCUGAGAGGAUGAUCAGUCACACUGGAACUGAGACACGGUCCAGACUCCUACGGGAGGCAGCAGUGGGGAAUAUUGGACAAUGGGCGCAAGCCUGAUGCAGCCAUGCCGCGUGUGUGAAGAAGGUCUUAGGAUUGUAAAGUACUUUCAGCUGGGAGGCGUUACCCGCAGAAGAAGCACCGGCUAACUCCGUGCCAGCAGCCGCGGUAAUAC
rnacentral:rRNA from 1 species